rnacentral:rRNA from 1 species
UACGUAGGUGGCGAGCGUUAUCCGGAUUUACUGGGUGUAAAGGGAGCGUAGGCGGCAGGGCAAGCCUGAUGUGAAAGCCCGGGGCUCAACCCCGGGACUGCAUUGGGAACUGCCCUGCUGGAGUGCCGGAGGGGCAGGCGGAAUUCCUAGUGUAGCGGUGAAAUGCGUAGAUAUUGCGCAGAACUCCGAUUGCGAAGGCAGCAUACCGGCGGCGAUCUGACGCUGAGGCACGAAAGCGUGGGUAUCGAACAGG